AGGGGUCUUAGCCUCUACCCAGGCCUCUGUCAUGACCAGGAGGCUGAGGCCCUUCA
rnacentral:pre_miRNA from 1 species